ACAGUACAAACUGAGCAGGUAAUACCAUAAACGGUAUCAGCCGGGCUGCGCAGGCAGCAGCGGAUGUAGCUAUAAAAUUAUUGAUCUUACAGCACAUCUGCGGGACAGU
rnacentral:ncRNA from 1 species